GUGGGGAAUCUUGCGCAAUGGGCGAAAGCCUGACGCAGCCAUGUCGCGUGAAUGAUGAAGGUCUUAGGAUUGUAAAAUUCUUUCACCGGGGACGAUAAUGACGGUACCCGGAGAAGAAGCCCCGGCUAACUUCGUGCCAGCAGCCGCGGUAAUACGAAGGGGGCUAGCGUUGCUCGGAAUUACUGGGCGUAAAGGGCGCGUAGGCGGACAGUUUAGUCAGAGGUGAAAGCCCAGGGCUCAACCGUGGAAUUGCCUUUGAUACUGGCUGUCUUGAGUACGGGAGAGGUGAGUGGAACUCCGAGUGUAGAGGUGAAAUUCGUAGAUAUUCGGAAGAACACCAGUGGCGAAGGCGACUCACUGGCCCGUUACUGACGCUGAGGCGCGAAAGCGUGGGGAGCAAACAGGAUUAGAAACCCGGGUAGUCC
rnacentral:rRNA from 1 species